AGGACGAACGCUGGCGGCGUGCUUAACACAUGCAAGUCGAGGGCGUGGCGGGGCAACUCGCCACGACCGGCGAACGGGUGCGUAACACGUGAGCGACCUACCCCGGUGUGGGGGAUAGCCGGCCCAACGGCCGGGUAAUACCGCAUGCGCUUUGGCUUCUUCCUGGAAGCUCAAGCAAAGUCUUCGGACGCACUGGGAGGGGCUCGCGGCCUAUCAGCUAGUUGGCGGGGUAAUGGCUCACCAAGGCGACGACGGGUAGCUGGUCUGAGAGGAUGGCCAGCCACAUUGGGACUGAGAGACGGCCCAGACUCCUACGGGAGGCAGCAGU
rnacentral:rRNA from 1 species